GCAGACGAUAGAGGCGCACCUUUCAUCAGUAGCGCGGGCUAGGCUGCCAAAGCCGCUGGAUGCCUGUGCCAAAGGGAACGGUGCCGAAGGGAAUAUCUCGGCGGGUAUUGCCCUGGGGGUGUCCUUAACAGGGACACAACUGUCACCGCAGCUUGCGGUGAAGCGCUAUCCAUCCU
rfam:Clostridium sp. CAG:169 genomic scaffold, scf130